rnacentral:rRNA from 1 species
GAUGAACGCUGGCGGCGUGCCUAAUACAUGCAAGUCGAGCGAACGGACGAGAAGCUUGCUUCUCUGAUGUUAGCGGCGGACGGGUGAGUAACACGUGGAUAACCUACCUAUAAGACUGGGAUAACUUCGUGAAACCGGAGCUAAUACCGGAUAAUAUUUUGAACCGCAUGGUUCAAAAGUGAAAGACGGUCUUGCUGUCACUUAUAGAUGGAUCCGCGCUGCAUUAGCUAGUUGGUAAGGUAACGGCUUACCAAGGCAACGAUGCAUAGCCGACCUGAGAGGGUGAUCGGCCACACUGGAACUGAGACACGGUCCAGACUCCUACGGGAGGCAGCAGUAGGGAAUCUUCCGCAAUGGGCGAAAGCCUGACGGAGCAACGCCGCGUGAGUGAUGAAGGUCUUCGGAUCGUAAAACUCUGUUAUUAGGGAAGAACAUAUGUGUAAGUAACUGUGCACAUAUUGACGGUACCUAAUCAGAAAGCCACGGCUAACUACGUG